AUUGAACGCUGGCGGCAUGCUUUACACAUGCAAGUCGAACGGUAACAGCCCGCUAGUUUCUGACGAGUGGCGAACGGGUGAGUAAUGCAUCGGAACGUGCCCAGUCGUUGGGUAUAACUACUCGUAAGAGUAGCUAAUACCGCAUCCGAUCUAUGGAUGAACUCGGUGGUCCGUAUGGCCUCGCGCGAUUGGCGCGGCCGAUGUCCGAUUAUUUAGUUGGUGGGGUAAAGGCUCACCAUGCCCACGAUCUGUAGCGGGUCUGAGAGGACGAGCAGCCCCACUGGGACUGAGACACGGCCCAGACUCCUACGGGAGGCAGCAGUGGGGAAUUUUGGACAAUGGGCGCAAGCCUGAUCCAGCAAUGCCGCGUGCAGGAAGAAGGCCUUCGGGGUGUAAAGUGCUUUUGCACGGAACGAAACGGCUCUGGUUAAUACCCGGGGCUAAUGACGGUAACGGAAGAAUAAGCACCGGCUAACUACGUG
rnacentral:rRNA from 1 species